rnacentral:lncRNA from 1 species
CUCUCGUGCCCGCACGUGCGUGUCUCGGUCAGUAGCCCUGCGCUUCUCCUUCACUCUCGGCGGUUCAGGAGGCUCUGCCGCAGCCGGGGCCCUCCUGUGACCUGCAUGUACUGGGGGAUUCGCAGGGAGGAUGUCGGGACACCCCGGAAGCUGGGAAAUGGUGAGUUGCGCCGCCGGGGGUCUGGAGAAGGGAAGGGGCUGUGGCGGCCCCGGGCCCCGGGCUCCCAGCGG